rnacentral:lncRNA from 1 species
UCUAUGGAGAGUAUGGGUUGCAAACAUACUGUUUUUAGUUACAGGAUUUUGAUAAAUGGUUACUGCAAGAAUAAGGAAAUAGAGGGAGCGUUAACCCUUUAUAGCGAAAUGCUCUCUAAAGGAAUUAAGCCAGAUGUUGUUAUAUAUAACACCUUGUUUAUUGGCCUUUUUGAAAUACACCAGGUUGAGCGUGCUUUCAAGCUGUUUGAUGAGAUGCAAUGUGAUGGCGUGGCAGCUGAUACCUGGGCAUAUACAACCUUUAUUGACGGGCUCUGCAAGAAUGGUUAUUUUGUAGAGGCAGCUGAACUAUUUCGUACUUUGAGAGUACUCAAGUGUGAACUUGGUAUUGGAGCAUACAGCUGCCUCAUUGAUGGAUUGUGUAAAAUAGGCAAACUGGAAACUGCUUGGGAACUGUUUCAAAGUUUGCCUCGUGUAGGCCUAAUGGCAGAUGUUGUAACAUAUAACAUCAUGAUCCAUGGGCUUUGUAAUGAUGGGCAAAUGGACAAGGCACAUGAUUUAUUUCUUGAUAUGGAAGCAAAGGGUGUGGAACCCGAUUUUGUCAUAUUUAAUACGCUUAUGCUGGGUUUCAUCCGCUGUAAUGAGACAUCAAAAGUUAUUGAACUCCUUCACGGAAUGGAUAAGAGAAAUGUAAUGCCAGACGCAUCUAUACUUUCAAUUGUUGUGGACUUGCUUGUAAAGAAUGAAAUUGGUUUAAACUCGAUUCCACAAUUCAAGAGACAAAAGUAAGCAGACGGGUUGAAUCUUGAUUUAGUAGUGCGUCUCUUCUGCUUUAAAACCAGAUCUGGGGAAUCCCAUUCUUAUUACAACGUGUGAAGGAGUGUUGUGUAUUGUUGGCAUGUUCCCAGGUUCUGUUCAUGGAUUCUGUUUGCAGACAUGGCCGACUCUUUGUCUCAUCAGAUAAGUUUCAAAUAAUUCUGGCAACGUUUUGUUGUAAAAUUACUUUUUUAUCAUUUAAUUCAUAUGUUUUCCUUCUAUAAUGCCUCUUUCGCAUUUCCUGCAAGUGCAAAAUUUUUGAGCUCUUCCUCUUAGACCUCUUUUUCUUCUCUAAAUAGAUAAAAUGGCAUUUCAUUGUUCUCUUGCGAGGUUGCUGGUUUAUGCUGAAACUUUCAGUUAGUUAAAUUGAUUGUCUUUGAAAUUGGAACUUGUAGUUGAACUAGUUUGCAUUUCGAAUAUAUGAGAUUACCAAAUGUAACGGGAAUUGGUGCCGAAUUGAUUAUGUUAUCAGGUUUUUCAGUCUGUGUUCAUCUUUUAUUUCUGUUAAUAAUUAAUAGCACAGCUUGUCUUCUCUGCUUCUUUGGUUCCUGUCUAUUGUCAAAUAUAAACUUGUAAAGACAUUUUGUUUUGGCAUGGCACAUGCUAGAUUUUGUUUUUGGUUUGAAUGACACUACACAUCUAAGUAAUUGUCCAGAUUUUUUUCAUUCCUAGUGACAUGGCACUCAAUUGAAUGGUGACUCAUGUAUCAUGAUUGUGUGUGUUGGUAUUUGUUAUACUACGUGUUGGCAAGACAAAGUUAACCCUUUUUUUUUUUUUUUUUGGCUUUUGGAUUUUGUUUCAUUAUAUAUAUAUAUAUAUAUAUAUAUUGUAUACCGUUAUUAGCUUCGACAACUUGAGUUGCAGUCUUGUGAGUUUAGAACCUGCCAAAGUAAGCAUACACAUGACAAUGAAGAAUUGAAGAUUGUGAACGGUUAUUAGCUAUUGUUGCAAGUUUAGAACCUAUAAAUUGUAUACAGUUAUUAGCUAUUGUUGGAGCCUUAAGUGUGAACUUAUCAUCGUUGCCUACAGUUGCCUCAUUGAUGAAUUGCGUAAAAUAGGCAAACUGAAAAUUGCUUGGGAACUGUUUCAAAGUUUGCCCCGUACAGGCCUAAUGCCAAAUAUUGUAACAUAUAACAUCAGGAUUCAUGGGCUUUGUGACGAUGGGGCAAAUGGAUAAGACACAUGAUUUAUUUCUUGAUAGACCAUUCUCAGGGCACAAAGGGUGUGAUGCCCAAUUGUGCCAUAUUUACUAUGCUUAUGCGAAAGAAUGAGACAUCAAAAGUUUCUUCACUCAAUGGAUAAAAGAAAUGUAAUGCCAGAUGCAUCUAUAGUUUCAAUUGGUGUGCGCUUACUGGUUAAGAAUGAAAUUAGUUUAAACUUGAUGCCAGAAUUCAAGAGACAGUUCAUUAGAUGAGUUGAAUGUUGAUUUAGUAGCCUUGAAGUUUUGAAAAUGUUUCCUGAUGGAUAAAUUGAACUUGUAUGCACACGUGUGAACUAAAAGAAAAAUGAUAUACCAUUGUGGAAUCGAAAUUCUUUUGAAUGGAAAAAAGUUUGUCAGGAUCGCCUGAUUUCUAAUUGAUUUUAAGGGAAAUUAUCAUCGGUAUACCCUUAAAUGUCAUUGGUAUCAAACGUACUACAACACUUUUCGCUUAUAUCACUCGUAUACCCUAAGUUGACAAAAGAGUUCUGGCGUCCAACUUUCCGUUUACUACCGUUAAGAACUUAACAGAAUUUGAGCAAAAUGACUAUUUUACCCUUUAAACUCAAAAUGAGGUAAAAAAAUAAAUUUGCCUUGAAAAUUAAUGUAAAUUUUCAAUACACAAAUUUUUUUUAUUUUGUUUUUAACAAUACAUUUUUUUAUUAAAAAAAUAUGAAUUAUUAAUGGUACAGAUUAUUAACAAUUAUCCAUAAAAAAUAUUCAUCUUAUACCAUAAAAAAUUAUUAACAACAUCUUAUUUAUAAUUAUACAUAUUAUAUCAUAAAAAAUUCAAGUUGGAUCUUGGAGGAGUAGAUCUUCAAUAAUUUAGGUUAAAUUUUGGAGGAGUAGAUUCGGUUGUAAAGUAUGUUUUUUUUAAAGCAAUUAUUAACAAUUAUCUGAUAAAUGGGAUGACAUGUCAUUUUUAUCAAAAUAUAUCAUAUGACAUGUCGUUUUUUACUAUGUAAAUGGGAUGCCAUGUCGUUUUUUAAAAAAAGACUAGAUUACCCUUAUGAUGUCAGCGCUCACAAACGGCAGUUAACGGAUCGGUGGAUGGCAGAAGUGUUUUGUCAAUUUAGGGUAUACGAGUGAUACACUUGAAAAGUGUUGUAACACGUUUGAUACUGGUGUCAUUUAAGGGUAUAUAAUUGAUAAUUUCCCUUGAUUUUAAUAGAAAACGUGCUUUAAGCAUGAGGUAAUACUAUAAAGUUUUUUUAAGAAAGGUUAUAAAUUCCAGUAAUUGAGUCUAAAUUUGAUAUUAUAUUCAUAUGGUAUAAGGUAGAAUAUUAAUUUUAUCAGUUAUAAAAUUUACUAUCUAAUAGAUGAACAACACUUAACAGUCUCAUUACAUUACCAUCAGUUACUCCACUCUCUUUUCCUUCUCCUUCUUCUAAUGUAAUAACUUUAUACUUGCAGAUUGGUUCCUCUGUUUCCAUGAGGCACUAAUAAUAAAUCCACUGUGAUAACUCUUGAGUAUCUACCACUUCGUCUGUAAUUAAAACUCAACAACUCAGAUGAAAAACUUAAAACUAAAAGAGAUACCCAACUCGCAAGCGACUUUCGCAGCCCUAUGGGCUACUACCCUUUCAUUCUAGAUUCUUGCUUAGAGAGAGAGAACUUGUGAAGAAAACUUCUAUCAGUAGGAGAGCGCUUACAAAGUAGAUUAUUUUAUAUUUCUCUAGACUGACUUUUUUACUUUAUCAAAGACAAAAGCAGCAUAAACAAAGACAGAAGAUUAACAAAAGCAUCAAUUGCCAAAGAGUGAAGAGUAUUAUUAUAUUUUAAGAACAUAGGUUAUGACCAACUUAAAAGAAGCAGUUAGGGCUUGUUGGAUAUCGUUUUAAUAGCCUUAUUUUCAUUUUUGUUUUGGGAGUAUAAAUAUAAUACAUAUUCAGUGGGUUGAAUCUAAAAAAUAAAUUAUAAAACAAAGAAUUGAUAUUCACUUUUAUAGUUAUAAAAUUAAGAACCUGUUGAACAUGUUCUCAAACAAAUUACAAAUUAAAUUAAAAACAAAACCCCAAAACAAAAUCUAAAAACUUAUCUUCCUCUCCCAAAAUCUUAUCCCCUCCCUCUCGUUAUCUCAUCACAACGCUGCUUUCUUCAUGGUUGAUACUUCUCUUUUAACCACAACCCACUUGAACUGUGCACUCAUCUUUCUCUCCCCUUCCCUUUUAUCUAGGUCUACUUCACAGCUCUCUCCCUCUUGGUGGCUGUUACUUGUUCAUCAACUGCAAUCCAUCGUCGCAAGGUACGACAUUGGAAUAUUUGACCAAAAACAUGUCAGGACAGAGUGAUGUCUAUCAUGGUUUAUUGCUGCAAGUACAUUAUUUUCUUUGUACUAAAGUGAAUCUUUGAUGUAUUUAUUAAAUUUGGUGGAGCAAUCUUAGUUAAUUUUGAUGAUUUAUAUAUGCAUUUAAUUUCAUUUUUAAUAAUUCAUGUGCAGGAAAUAUGGAUUAUGGGCUUUGCUUGGACUGAUGGUUUGCGCAAUUUCAUUUGGAAUCAAUCAGCUUCAAGGAUAAACACUCAUCCUUUCUUGUGCAUGGGACUUGCUUUUCUUCCAUCCAACAUUUUGGUUCUUUUUUUCUAUGGUAGUAGUUUUAUGUUUUGUGUUGGUGGGAAACUUCAUGCUGCAAUUUUGUCAAACUCUGUUGACAUACCCUAAUCAGUAAUGACUUUGCUGCAUGGCGAAAGCAUAAGCUCAUAGUUGACAUUGUUGUCAUUAGAGCUUGUUUCUAUAAAAUAAGUGUAAUUUGAAAGUACAUUGUACACUAAUCAAUUUGAAUUAUCCCCAACAAGUUUUGAUCAUGCUUGAUGCAUGAUGUCUAUCAUUUAAUUUUUUUUAUAAUUAUUUUGUUUAACUUAUAUGUAUUGUAAUACAUAGCUUAAUUAUAGUGUUAAAACAAUGGCAAUGUAAUUUUUUUUUAUUAAUGCUAAUACUAAAACUUUAUCAUCAUGUAAUACUUUAUAAUUGUUUUGUUUAAAUUAUUUAUGGUAUGUCUGCGUAUUAAUUUAAUAAACAAUUAGUUUUUACUAAAAAAGUAUGACUUACAUUUUUAGCAAAAACUGUUCAUGAAAAUAGUACUACCGAAUACAUUUUCUCUAUUUUUAUCUUUUUUAAUUGUGUUUACCGAACACAUGUUACUGUUUUCAAUUUUAAAAUACAAGAUAUAGAAAAUGAUAUCAUAUGCUUAUUUAAUUCAAAAUGCAGCAACUGCCAAACACUAUAUUUAUUCUCAUUUUUGUUUUUAGAAAAUAUUAAUUCAGAAACAAUACUAAACAAGAACUUAGUUUUAGUACGAAUAAUGUUGUGUUAGUUAUAUAGGCUUACAUGCACCCUUAGAUUUAUUGAAAGUAUCAAACCAACCCCCUAGUUACCGUUGACUGAUAUCUAACCAGUUGACCGAUGUUGACUCUUAAAAGUAACUAUAACAUCUAUAUUGUAAUCUCACUUUAUUAACUAAUAAAUUUUAAAAAUAUAAAUAGAUCAAUAAUAACAAAAUAAUUAAAGUUGAAAUCCAAGAAAUUACCCAAAAAACCAUACCUAAACCAAACCUGAAAACCAAAAUGCAUAAAAUUUCAUUAAUUUAGGUUGUGACAAUGAGUAGUCCACAUUAUAUGAUGAAGGAACAACUUUUGUUAUUUUACCAAGUUAUUAAUGCUAUGUUUACUUACUGGAGCGGGCGUGAGAAGUGUAGAUUUCUCUCACUCUAGAGUUUACUUGCAUAUUCUAAGAGGUGUGGGAAUCCCACUUCUUUGAUCCCACCCAAUUUUAAAGUAUGGAGUGUGAUUCCCACUCCCAUGAGGGAAGGUCCACUCCCAUAACUUUCUUUUUUACCUUUCUUUUAUUAAAUUUACUACAAUCAUAUUUAGUAAAAUAAAACAAAUAACAUCAUAUUUAUUUAAUAAAUAUUAUUAUAUUAUUUUAUAAAAUUCUAUUUAUUAAAAAGAAUAAUAUUAAUCUUAUUUACAUAAAAUUAUUAUUAUAUUUAUUUAAAAAUAAUAGUAUUAUAUUUAUUUAAUAUUAAUAAUUAAUAAUAAUAAAUAGUUUAUUCUAAGAAAAUAUUAAUUUUGCACUAUAUUAUUAAUAAUUAUGUUUCAUUUGUGUUGCUCUUAUCAAUAAUUUUUAAUUUACAUAAUUAAAAUUAAAACUAAUAAAAAAUUAUGAUUUACAUAAUUAAUGAUAUUAAUAAUUAUUGUUAAUUUACAAAUAUAAUGAAAUAAAUAUUUUAUUUCAAAUAUAUUUUUUAUUAAUUUUGUAAUUAAAAGUUACAAUUCUUUAAAUAAAGGUAAAACCAUAAUUUGAAACCAUUUACUCCCCUUCUCAUUCUAGUGAGAGGAAACAACUUGCUUCCACUUCACACCAUCAAUCACAAGAUUCUCACUUCUCAAGAUUUCCACUAUAAUCUAAAAUGUAAACACUGUCUAUAACAUCAAAUAAAAUUCUUAAUUAAGUAAACCAUAAGGUGCUUGCGUAUAAAAAAAAUUAAUAAUAUUAAUUUUCAUAAGAAUUUAUGCUCGUAGUAUUACUUUACUUUUUAUUAACCAUUGCUUCAACUUAUGGUAGAUAUUAAGAGAACAAUAAUAAUAGAGCUAUAAAUGUUUGCGUACUAUCAAUCAACUUAACACUAUAAUUACCAACAAACCCUUAAUACCACAAAUAAUUAAAUUAUUGGGGUUUUAAAAUGACUCUCCAGACUUUGCAAGACUUCUUUAUAUGUAGGUGCCAUGGUUCCUAUAAGUAAUAUCAGCCACACUUUUUGUUAUUGUUAAACAAAAUUUAUAGGUACAAUUUGUGAAUUUGUACAAAAUGUGGUAUUAUACAUUUGAAGCAUGAACCGACAAGACAAUGUUGUGUUAAUAAUAAAGAAAUAAAAAAAAAUUGUAUAAAAUACAGAUGUUGUAGUGUAACUUGGAUUCUUUUUCUUUAUGAUUGCACCUAUCAUGUGAUUAUUAAAAAAACCAAAAAAAAAAGAACUCCUGAGAUUUUAAAAUUUUGUAAUUGUACUAUUUUUGGAUUAUCAGAAGACUUCCUCUCCUUAAAGAUGCCCUUAAUCCAUAAAUGGUCCAAAAAAUAAUUCAUGAAAUGAAUUUAUUAUUUUAGAUAAGUUUCAAGUACGCAUACCUUUUAUAGCUCCAUAUUGCAUAACUCCUCAUUUCAAUCAAUGGAUGCAUUUGUUUACUUUUUCUUUUUUGUAAAUUUUUGAAUGGUCGUAAUUCUAUAGAUAAUUAAUUAAGUGUUAUUGCUUUCAUUAUUUUGUAGAUGCAUAUGAUGGGUGGGGACGUUGGGGGACAUGGAUCUCAAUACACUAGAGGGCUAUAAUAUUUAUUCUUUAAGAGGAACCACAACCAACAACAAUGCUUUAAGUUCCAUUUCAUGUUACUUUUGUGCACUAGAUUGCAUAAACAACAUUUAUUAUCCAAGGUCAGCCUCUCAAAGACUUUGGUUACAAGACAAAGCAUGGGAUUGCGGCCAAAAUUUUCUUGCAGUGAAAGGCUUAGAAGCUGAUGACAGCUGCUGAAUUGUGGGCUCCAAUGGUUUUAAUAUUAUUCUCUUAAAAACAUAUGUGUUGAUUAGAGACGAGAAGAAGAGGAUGAUCUGAUUCAGCCAGUUGUAGAAGAAAGAGCACGCAGUGGAGUUCAGAUUUUGAAUUCUCUUGUUAAAUUGUUUUUAAUUUACUACAAGGUAGAAUACGUUGCAUUGUUAAAAAAUACUUUGAACAUCCUAUUUUUGUAUUACAAAUAUACCAAAAAUUAAAUUAAUUUUUUUCUUUAUUAGUAUAAACUAAAUUUUGCCUGAAUCCUCAUCCUUGUAAGUGGAAUUUUAUUGUGAAACUAAUAGUCCUUCCUAGUUGAACUAACUAUCACUUUGAACAUAUGUGUCAUCUCUAACAACAGCUUCCAAACCUACAGUUGCCUGCUUCUUAGCAUUAGAAGCAGUAUCCGCAUUGGCUUUCAACCAGCCAUAAUUAGGAGGAGGGCACCGUUGUUUCUGUUUGUCAAUUUCCUUCCUUGAACCAUAAGCCAUAAUUAGGAGGAGGGCAAACUUCCAAAUAACAUUCAAAAUGGUGUUGUGAAAAAUUUUCACCCUUUUGGUAAUAAAAAAAAACUUUAUUUCUAGUUCUCUAUUAACAAUCUUACCAUUAAGUUCUCUCUUGAGUAGAAACAUCAUAUAUAUUAAUUUAUUGUUAAUAUAAAAAAAAACUAAAUAUUUAUAACUUAAAAGAUAAGUGUUGAAUAGAGGUAGUCUCACAGAAAAAAAAAGUAUUUCAAAGCAGUAGUGAUAUCAGAAUUUUUUGUAAUGAUACGAUAGUAUCACACUAGAUUUUUUUCCGCAUUACAAAAAGUUUGUAUUCAAGAAUAAAUUAGCAAUAUCAGGAACAAAAAGCCUCCAGGACAUGUCAUAUUAAUUUUGUGAUAUAUUAGUUGGUGGAUCUUCUUUCCACAUUACAAAAAAUUAGAAAUGCAAUCUAAAUCGAUAUCAAUUACUAAUUUUAUAUUGAAUGGGUCCUACAUGAAAAUAAGGGGUAUUUUUAUAAUUUAAGAAAUUAUUAGCGAUUUACCCUAAGUUUACUUUGUGUCCAAAAAUACUAUGAAAACUUUAACUUGUUUAGUUUUUUUACCUUAAUUUAUAAUUUAUAUCAAUCGCUCACUAAAAAGAUAGAAUAACAUCAUAAAAUGACAAAAUAAAAACAAACACAAAUGACAAUACCAAUCAUUUUAUAAGGAUAAUCAAGUCAUUUCGGCACCAAAUUACAUAUUCAAUUAUUUUAAAUAUUAUAAAUUACUUUUAGAUUGAACCCCGGUCAUUUUAAUAAUCAUGGCCAUUUAACCUAUCUAAACAUGAUAUUUCGAGUAGACUUAUGUUUGUGUAGGAAGAUAAUGUAAAAAAAGUGGCACUUUUAUUCAACUGAAUAAAUUUCACAAUUUAAAUAAACAAAAGGAUAAAAUUUCAUAAUUAACUAUUAUUUGAACUAAUUGAUUCGGGAGCCAUGAUUUGUAGCGGUCCCAAAAGCAUAACAUUAUUGUGAGUAAUGUUAUUGUGAGAUAAAUUAUUAAUUCUCGUACUUGCAAAAUAAACGGCAGAAUGCGGUUUAGGGACGGAUUAUCGAGGCAUUUGUUAAUAUUCGGAAAUGAAAAGAAAAGGGCAAAUAAAAUUUUAACUUAUUAUUAUUAUUAUUUUUAAAGAUUGUAACUCAUAUGAUUAGACAAAUAAAGGAGCUAAAGGCCACUUGGCGGCUUCACUAGGAGCUGUUUGAGUUUAAUUCUAUUGGUAAAUGACAAUAGUGGUUAUUUUAUAAGGAUAAUUCAAUCCUUUUGGCACCAAAUUACAUAUUAAAUUAUUUUAAAUAUUAUAAAUUAUUUUUAUACUAAGUGAUGGAUCUAAUUAUUUUAAUACUCAUGACAAUUUAAUCUAUCUAAACAUGAAAUUUUGAGUAAAUUUAUGUUUGAGUAGGAGGAUAAUGUAAGAAAAAUUGACACUUUUAUUCAACCGAAGAAAUUUUACAAUUUAAAUUAGAAACGAUAAAAUUUAAUAAUUAUUGUGAGUAAUGCAUUCUACUUGUAAAUAGUCGGUAUUGGAAGGAAAAGGGCAUAUAUUUCUCUCCUAUUUUGGUAAUUCUCUUCUUCUUCAACCCCAAAUAAUCAAAAGCUCUCCAAUGGCUUUCGUAUCCACAACUCGUCCAUUUCAUUUUACUUCAAUUUCUGUAUCAGCUCUUAGAUGUAAUUUCUCAUCUUCGUUCCCUCAUACCGGGAAACCCACAUCUUCAAUUUUGGAAAAUGAACCCUCCUAUCCGAAUACAACAGCUAAACUGAAGGAGUCGCUACGACUGACGGUCAAAGACCGAGCCUCACUCGAAAAAUUCCUCAGAGAAAGGUUCAAAUCAUCCGGUGAAGGUGAUAUUACUACUAUUACUCCUAAUGAAGCCUUUUGUAUCUUUGAUUACAUGCUCAAUAUGCGCCCUUCUCCGCCUCCUGUCUCUUCCUUUAAUAUUUUGUUUGGUUGUCUUGCUAAGAAUAAACAUUAUGAUACUGUCCUUUCACUCUUCAAGAGACUCAAUUCAACUGGGUUGUUUCCAGAUCUUUAUACGUACAAUAUCUUGAUUAACUGCUUUUGCAAAAUGGGUCGAGUUUCUCCUGGUUUUGUUGUUCUUGGGAGAAUCCUCAGGUCUUGUUUUACUCCAGAUGCUGUGACCUUUAAUUCUUUGAUUAAAGGUUUGUGUGCGGAGAGUAGAAUCAUGGAGGCUGCCGCAUUGUUUACGAAACUCAAAGCGUUUGGUUGUGAGCCUAAUGUCAUUACGUACAGUACUUUAAUUAAUGGAUUGUGUCGAACUGGCCAUACAAUCGUUGCUUUAAAUUUAUUUGAAGAGAUGGCUAAUGGAAAUGGGGAAAUUGGUGUUGUUUGUGAGCCAAACACUGUUACAUACACUACUAUUAUAGAUGGUCUUUGUAAGGAAGGUUUUGUGGACAAGGCCAAGGAACUGUUUCUGAAGAUGAAGGAUGAGAAUAUUAACCCUAACGUGGUUACUUAUAACUCUUUGAUUCACGGUUUUUGUUACGCUAAUGAUUGGAACGAGGCGAAGUGUUUGCUUAUUGAGAUGAUGGACCAAGGGGUACAGCCUAAUGUUGUGACUUUCAAUGUCAUCAUGGAUGAGCUCUGCAAGAAUGGAAAGAUGGAUGAGGCAAGUCGGUUGUUGGACCUGAUGAUUCAAAUUGGUGUGCGUCCAAAUGCUUUUGUCUAUAACACAUUAAUGGACGGGUUUUGUUUGACAGGUAGAGUUAAUCGUGCGAAGGAACUAUUUGUUUCUAUGGAGAGUAACAGGUGCAUGCAUGAUGUUUUUAGUUACAGUAUUUUGAUAAAUGGUUACUGCAAGAAUAAGGAAAUAGAGGGAGCGCUAAGCCUUUAUAGCGAAAUGCUCUCCAAAGGAAUUAAGCCAGAUGUUGUUAUAUAUAACACCUUGUUUAUUGGCCUUUUUGAAAUACACCAGGUUGAGCGUGCUUUCAAGCUGUUUG